CCUACGGGUGGCUGCAGUGGGGAAUAUUGGACAAUGGGCGAAAGCCUGAUCCAGCCAUGCCGCGUGUGUGAAGAAGGCCUUCGGGUUGUAAAGCACUUUCAGUGGGGAAGAAAGCCUUGGGGCUAAUACCCUCGAGGAAGGACAUCACCCACAGAAGAAGCACCGGCUAACUCCGUGCCAGCAGCCGCGGUAAUACGGAGGGUGCGAGCGUUAGUCGGAAUUACUGGGCGUAAAGCGCGCGUAGGCGGUCUGAUAAGCCGGUUGUGAAAGCCCCGGGCUCAACCUGGGAACGGCAUCCGGAACUGUCAGGCUAGAGUGCAGGAGAGGAAGGUAGAAUUCCCGGUGUAGCGGUGAAAUGCGUAGAGAUCGGGAGGAAUACCAGUGGCGAAGGCGGCCUUCUGGACUGACACUGACGCUGAGGUGCGAAAGCGUGGGUAGCAAACAGGAUUAGAUACCCCGGUAGUC
rnacentral:rRNA from 1 species